GUGGCACCACCACGUGGCAUAUUUUUUGUUUUUAAAAUAACCAAAGAUCGAAAGGGGCUGAAAUGAAAAAUCCCGUUCCAAACUUCAAAUGCAUUUAGAAAAUUCAUCUUCACCCUCCCAUCACCCCCCGUCGCCGUCCCUCGCCGUGCCCGUUGCCAUCCCGUCGCUGAACACCGUCACGAGUCCUUCCAUCGCCGAACAUCGGCUCCCUCCUCCACGAGAACCAUCUCGUAGCACUGAGCUUCUACCGUCUUUCACAAGUGCCUUCCGUCGCAGCGGCAAAGGUUCUACCCUCCUCCAGUGCCUUCCAUCACCGAACAUCGGCUUCCUCUUCAUUGUUUCUUUAUUUCUGAUUUUAUGCUUCUGAAGUGCUUCUUGUGCUCAAGUAUCAACACAUUUAGCUCCUGAGAUAAUAAGAGGAUAUGGUCAUGGGAGUGCUGCUGAUUGGUGGACGUUUGGUAUUUUCCUGUAUGAGUUGUUACAUGGGAAGAAACCUUUUAAAGGCAAUGGAAACCGAGAAACACAUUUGUGAUUGUACGUAUGCAUAUUGGGCACUUCUGUGAGGGUCAUUGCAAUUAAUCAUUUGAUUAUAGAGGCUGAUGAAGCAGAGUUUGAGGCAAUUGAUUCAUGCAAACAUUGAGACUUUGAAUAUUCUCAUGUAUGUGGAAGCUCUUUGUAUUUUGUGGAAACUCUUUGUAUUUGUUGAGACUUUGAAUACAAAGCUUGUGUUUUAAGUGUUUGUUUUUAGUAAAAGAGAAAAAAGACUGACCUUUUUUUA